rnacentral:rRNA from 1 species
CACAUGCAAGUCGAACGCAGUAGCAAUACUGAGUGGCAAACGGGUGAGUAUAAUGUGGGAAUCUGCCUUUUGGUUUGGAAUAACACGGGGAAACCUGUGCUAAUACCGGAUAAGCCUUUACGGGGAAAGUUUUAACGCCGAAAGAUGAGCCUGCACUUGAUUAGCUAGUUGGUAAGGUAAAAGCUUACCAAGGCAACGAUCAAUAGCUGUUCUUAGAGGAAGACCAGCCACAUUGGGACUGAGACACGGCCCAGACUCCUACGGGAGGCAGCAGUGGGGAAUCUUGCACAAUGGGGGAAACCCUGAUGCAGCGAUGCCGCGUGAGUGAAGAAGGCCCUUGGGUUGUAAAACUCUUUCGUCGGGGAAGAAAAUGACUGUACCCGAAUAAGAAGGUCCGGCUAA